CUGAACUAUAUAAAUUAAGUUCCAUUAAUUAGAUGUACUCAUGAGAGAUUUAAAAGGCAGAAGAGAGUCUGGAGUCACCUUCCUGAUGCUUCGGCUAUGUUCUGCUGAAAAGCAAUGUCAAGGCCAUGUGGACCUCUACAGCAGCAUUCCAGUGUUCAAUUUCCAGAUCCACAAGUGCCGAGCAGAACUUGUGGCAGAAGAGCGACAUGUGAUAUUACUGAAAGUCUGAACUGCUCCACAGUGUCACAGAGAAAACACCCAGAGCCUGCAGGGAGGUUAUCACACAUCAAAGCUGAAUCAGCCCAUCAGCAGUACCAAAGGGUGCGGUGAGGAGGAGAAACUGCAAAAUGAGCCUGGAUCUAGGAACAGCAUGUAUUCAGCACAGAGCCUUAACUCAGAAUUGGUUACUGCCUGUUGAAACGGAAGAGCCCUAAUCAGUACAGCUCCUCAUUGCCUACAGAAUGAACCAUGACAACUUCUCAUCCUGGGUUCUCCACAUUGUGUUUAUAUCUCACUUGCUGGUCCUUGCCUAACUAAACAUAAGCCUCUCUGUGACGAU